GAUGAAGAACGUAGCGAAAUGCGAUAAGUAAUGUGAAUUGCAGAAUUCAGUGAAUCAUCGAAUCUUUGAACGCACAUUGCGCCCGCCAGUAUUCUGGCGGGCAUGCCUGUUCGAGCGUCAUUGCUGCCCUCAAGCACGGCUUGUGUGUUGGGCCCCGUCCUCCGAUCCCGGGGGACGGGCCCGAAAGGCAGCGGCGGCACCGCGUCCGGUCCUCGAGCGUAUGGGGCUUUGUCACCCGCUCUGUAGGCCCGGCCGGCGCUUGCCGAUCAACCCAAAUUUUUAUCCAGGUUGACCUCGGAUCAGGUAGGGAUACCCGCUGAACUUAAGCAUAUCAAUAAGCGGAGGA
rnacentral:misc_RNA from 1 species